CGGGACCGCACAGCAGCGAGCAUGUGGUUUAAUUCGAAGCAACGCGAAGAACCUUACCAGAUCUUGACAUCCAAUUGACCAUCUUUUAAUCGAGAUUUUGCCUUCGGGUACAAUUGAGACAGGUGGUGCAUGGUUGUCGUCAGCUCGUGUCGUGAGAUGUUGGGUUAAGUCCCGCAACGAGCGCAACCCUUGUGUUUAGUUGCAAACAGGUCAAGCUGUGCACUCUAGACAGACUGCCGUGGACAACACGGAGGAAGGUGGGGAUGACGUCAAAUCAUCAUGCCCCUUAUGAUCUGGGCUACACACGUGCUACAAUGGCCGGUACAAAGGGCAGCUACCUGGUGACAGGAUGCUAAUCUCAAAAGCCGGUCUCAGUUCGGAUCGGAGUCUGCAACCCGACUCCGUGAAGUUGGAUUCGCUAGUAAUCGCGCAUCAGCCAUGGCGCGGUGAAUACGUUCCCGGGCCUU
rnacentral:rRNA from 1 species